AUGCCACGGGAAUUGUCCUCGGACGUGCUCGUGAACAUCGUCCUGCGGCUCCCUCCGAGCACCCGGCGGCUGACCCGCCUGGUCUGCCGGCACUGGCGCGACGUCGUGGACACGCGCACGGCCAAGAUGCAGAGCUGCGCCAAGCUUCUCGUCGGCACCGGCGAGGGCUCCGCGUACAUCGUGGACGAUCCAUCAACAUCAACAGGGAGCCCCGGAAGAUAUCUUUGGAAAAACAACGACGCCAACGCCCGCCCUGGCCCCCGCGAAGGCACGAUGCCGAUGGUGGUCGGCACCUGCAACGGCCUGAUCUGCCUCCGCGACAAGCGGAUGUCCGACACCGCCAUCACUCUGGUCAACCCGGUCACCGGCGAGAGGCUGUCCCUCCCGCCGCUGCCGUCCGCCCCGGAAAGGACCUGCCUCGUAGGCUGGCACGAGGCGUACGGCUUCGGGUACCACCCCACGGCCGGGCGGUACAAGAUCGUGCAUGUGGACGCAUACGCUAAGAGAGGAAGCUUGCAGCAGUUGAAGGUGUUCACGUUGGGGGAGUCGUCAUGGCGGGACGUUGCCACGGGCUCUCUCCCGAGAUGCAAUUACAGCGCCGGCAUCGUGGGCGUCGACGGCACCAUGUACUGGGCCGCCAAGAAGGGGAAGAAGCUCAUGGCGUUCGACCUCGGCCACGAGCGCCUCAGCUUCAUCAAGUCGCCACCGGAUGCGCCGUCUGACGGCUGGCAUCUGACGGAGGUGCGGGCGAGGUUGGCGAUCCUCUAUUCUCUCUCGCCGGCUGAAAAGUCCGAGGUGUGGGUUCUAGAGGACGCGUUGACAAUGAAAGAGCACACAUGGAGCCGGUUGUACAUAGUGGAGUCGGACAUACCGCCACACUCAUUGCCGAUGUCCUGUCAUCUCAUUAGGGAUGUCAUAUGA
rnacentral:rRNA from 1 species